rnacentral:rRNA from 1 species
UACAGAGGUCCCAAGCGUUGUUCGGAUUCACUGGGCGUAAAGGGUGCGUAGGUGGUCGGAUAAGUUUGAUGUGAAAUCUCCGGGCUUAACCCGGAAACUGCAUUGAAUACUAUCUGGCUGGAGGGUUGGAGAGGGGACUGGAAUUCUUGGUGUAGCAGUGAAAUGCGUAGAUAUCAAGAGGAACACCAAUGGCAAAGACGAGUCCCUAGACAACUCCUGACACUGAAACACGAAAACUAGAAGAGCAAACAGG